UUUAACUCUCCAGGUGACCCUAACGUGCAGCCACUGCUGCAAUCCACCCCCAAUCAAGCCAGUCCCCAGUGAACUGUGGGCAUUCACUCAUAACUGGCACAGCCAUCCCCUGAAAUCUGUUGCGAGGAACAAUACUCAAAGGCUAACUACGCUGAGAAUGAUGGUUUCCAGCUUCAUCCAUGUCCCUGCAAAGGACAUGAACUCUUCCUUUUAUGGCUGCAUAGUAUUCCAUGGUGUAUAUGUGACACAUUUUCAUUAUCCAGUCUAUCAUUGAUGGGCAUUUGGGUUGGUUCCAAGUCUUUGCGACUGUAAAUAGUGCUGUAAUAAACAUACAUGUGCAUGUGUCUUUAUAGUAGAAUGAUUUAUAUUCCUUUGGGUGUAUACCCAGUAAUGAGAUUGCUGGGUCAAAUUGUAUUUCUGGUUCUAGACUGGGACUAUGGGCAUGCUACCAUGCCUGGCUAAUUUUUAAAUUUAUUUUGUAGUAGAGACAGUGUCUCACUAUGUUGCCCAGGCUGGCCUUGAACUCCUGCCCUCAAGGGAUCCCAAAUAAAUAUAUUUAUUUCUAAAUUCAUUCUAAAUGUUUGCAAUGUUAAGUAUGUGUGGCAAAAGAACAGAUACCUUUCAUUUUUUCAAUCACCUUUCAAAUAUUGUUACAAAAGCACAUAUUACUGUGAAAUAGUCGUAAUUUCAGAAAGAAAUUAUUCUUCAUUCAACUUCUCUUAAGAUUUUUAAUUAAACUUUUUAUUUUGAAAACAUUCAGAACCUACAGUGCAAUUAUCAAAUUUAGAAAACUUAACAUUGACACAAUGCUAUUAUCUAAUAUGUGGUGAAUAUUCAAAUUUUGUUGAUGGUUACAAAAUUGCCUUAAAAGCAACUUUUUCCCCUCAACACAAAAUCCAAUCUAGGGUGAUGCGUCGCAUUUAGGUGUCAUGUCCCCUUAGACUUCCUUAAUCAGGAGCAGUCCUUAGCCUUUCUUUGUUCCAUGAGGCUGAAAGUUCGUUUCUGAAGUGCUCAGGGUCUUUUUGUUUUGCUGACGUCUCAGUUUGGGUAUCACUUGGUUAAGGUGGUGUCAUCCAGAGUUAUCUUCUGGAAAGGCACCUUCUAUCUUGGAUAGGAAGGAAUUUAAGAGCAGGCACUAGGCAACUGUAAAUAUCACCCCACAAUUCCACUGAAUGAUAUUAAUAUUCAGCGACGAUCUUUGCCCGGGCCAACAAUUAUUAUGGUGGUUUCAAAGCACCUGCUCACAAUGGGGGACUAGGGAGUGUCUCAAAGUUAUAGUUUCAUUUUCAAGAAUGUUCUGAUACCUCUGUUACUGUACCUAGAUUUGUUUUGAGCCUACGUUUCUUUGAGGUAAUUGAGGGGUGUCGACUGAGGGCUUCAUGCCCCGCUGCUGUGAGUGCUGCCAGCACCAUCCCCUGCCUGCCCUCUCUCUAGACAUUGCCCUCUGCUGAAGGGACCCACCCUGACCAUGGUCCCUGGAGCAGCCUCAGUUGAGUGAUGUACUUGUGAUAAGAGGGCCCUGCCCCUCUCACCCCGAUUCCGCACAACCUUAAAGGGCUGCUCCCACUCCAGAGAUCUUCCUGUGGGGUGGCUGAGGCUUUUCUUUUGACCACGUGGAAGCCCAGCCUGUCCCUCUGCCCAUCUGCCGCUUUCCCUCCCCACAGGUGUUGGUCCUGAGAGCAUUCCCAAAUAAAUUUCCUGAACCAUCAUCACCAUAGCAAAGCAGCUUCCUGGGCAACCUCACCUACAACAGCCAUUUAAGAAUAGGAAUUUGAAAGACAUUGAGUGAAAACAAUUUAUAAUUCAGAAAGGAAAGCUUGCCUUAUAAAUAAAACUAUUCAUUAUUACUUAGCUAAAAUAGUCGUAGUUACUUUACAAAUGUUUACGGCUCCCCUGGCUUGGAGA
rnacentral:lncRNA from 10 species